rnacentral:rRNA from 1 species
GACGAACGCUGGCGGCGUGCCUAAUACAUGCAAGUAGAACGCUGAAGGAGGAGCUUGCUUCUCUGGAUGAGUUGCGAACGGGUGAGUAACGCGUAGGUAACCUGCCUGGUAGCGGGGGAUAACUAUUGGAAACGAUAGCUAAUACCGCAUAAUAGUAGAUGUCGCAUGACAUUUGCUUAAAAGGUGCAAUUGCAUCACUACCAGAUGGACCUGCGUUGUAUUAGCUAGUAGGUGAGGUAACGGCUCACCAAGGCAACGAUACAUAGCCGACCUGAGAGGGUGAUCGGCCACACUGGGACUGAGACACGGCCCAGACUCCUACGGGAGGCAGCAGUAGGGAAUCCUCGGCAAGGGACGGAAGUCUGACCGAGCAACGCCGCGUGAGUGAAGAAGGUUUUCGGAUCGUAAAGCUCUGUUGUAAGAGAAGAACGAGUGUGAGAGUGGAAAGUUCACACUGUGACGGUAUCUUACCAGAAAGGGACGGCUAACUACGUG